rnacentral:rRNA from 1 species
UCGUCACACUAUCAUUAACUGAAUCCAUAGGUUAAUGAGGCGAACCGGGGGAACUGAAACAUCUAAGUACCCCGAGGAAAAGAAAUCAACCGAGAUUCCCCCAGUAGCGGCGAGCGAACGGGGAGGAGCCCAGAGCCUGAAUCAGCAUGUGUGUUAGUGGAAGCGUCUGGAAAGGCGCGCGAUACAGGGUGACAGCCCCGUACACAAAAGCGCAUGUGCUGUGAGCUCGAUGAG